CUUCUUCACAAAUUUUUCUCUUCUUCUGAAUAUAAGAUGAGUAUUGUGUAUGCUCAUGCUCUCAACUAUUCUCAACUUGAGUCAAGCCUUGUUGAUACAAUUGGUUUUAUCAGUGAAGAAACUUUCAGAAAUGAUAAUCAGCAAUAUUAUUCUACCUCAACAAGUUCAGAAAUGGAAACAGUGUUUACCAAUUCUCAACAAUUGGCAGUGAAACAAGAAGAAAAGGAACCUUUUUCAUCACACUACAAUGGUUAUUCUUCUUAUGUAUCAUCUUCGAAUCAUCAGAUGAUUUACCAAACUCAGCAGCAGAAUCAAGGAUUGCCUAAUGAUUUUGAUGCUUCUUUUUUCGCUUCAGAAAACUGUAUCACAGAAACUAAAAUUGAUUCUUCUAAGAAUUGCUCCAAUCUCAUUAGGCACAAGAGUUCCCCUGCUGAGUUUUUCUCCAAUUAUUCACUUCAUAACGAUGUUUCUAUCAACAUGCCACAAAUUGUUGAAAAUGAUGAACACAAAGCACUUCAACCAAAUUGUAUUAAAAGUAGAAACAUGGGAAAUUAUAAUGGUAGCACUAAAUGUUACAUGCCUAGCUUCACCAAUGACUAUUGGGAUGCUUCUACAUUCGGGGCAACAAAAACAACCACUAAUAAUGCUGAAAUCAUCUUUUCCACUUCAAAUGCUAUACAAACUCAGGAUUUAGACUUUGGAUACCAAAAACUUGGUUUGACCCACCAUUUGAGUCUGCCAAGCUCUUCUACAAAGAUGGCUAGUAUGGACAAGUUUUUUCACAUUCAAGGAUCUGUUCCAUGCAAAAUCCGUGCCAAAAGAGGAUUUGCCACUCACCCAAGAAGCAUUGCAGAGAGGGAAAGAAGAAUAAGAAUUAGUGCAAGAAUCAAGAAAUUACAAGACCUUUUCCCAAAUUCAGAUAAGGUAAUAUACUUUUUAUAUUUAUUGGACUCAGAGCCUCAUAAGUUUUUGGAGGCCCCGUAUAGUUACGGUUUAGUCGUAUCAAAUUUUAGGCCUCGUGCAGUACCGUUUAGCCAUGUAAAGUUUUAGCCGUGCCAAAUUCAGAUAAGGUAAUAUAUUUUUUAUAUUUAUUGGACUCAGAGCCUUUUAAGUUUUUGGAGGCCCUGUAUAGUUACGGUUUAGCCGUGUCAAAUUUUAGGCCUAGUGCGGUUUCCAUUCCAUCAAAGACGGCCUUCAUUAGAUGGCUGACAAUGAAGGUUGAUAUGCAAUUUGAUGAUUUAUUUCUUGUAAUUCUUUCUUGGCAGCAAAGUAGCACAGCUGAUAUGUUGGAUGAAGCAGUUGAAUACAUUAAAGAUCUUAGGAAACAACUUAAGAUGUUAUCAGACACAAAGGCAAAGUGCAGUUGUAAAAGUAAUUAGAAGCAAUGUUCGGAUCUUAGGCCUGAUAUUGUUCCUUGUAGAUAACUAAAGAAAGGAGGCAUUUGUUUUUAAUUUAUAAUUUAGCUUUGCCAAAACAGUGGCAAGUGUGAUUAAUAAUAGAAUAGUUUUAUAAUAGUAUUUUGCCUAAUUUGUAUAAUAUUUUAGGUCCUGCUAAAUAUAUUUUCAGUUUUGUUU